rnacentral:rRNA from 1 species
UACGUAGGGGGCUAGCGUUGUCCGGAAUCAUUGGGCGUAAAGAGCGUGUAGGCGGCCCGGUAAGUCCGCUGUAAAAGUCAAAGGCUCAACCUUUGAAUGUCAGUGGAUACUGCCGGGCUAGAGUCCGGAAGAGGCGAGUGGAACUCCUGGUGUAGCGGUGGAAUGCGCAGAUAUCAGGAAGAACACCAACGGCGAAGGCAGCUCGCUGGGACGGUACUGACGCU